CAACUUUGUGAGCGAGUUCAGUGCGUGCGAGAGCGAGUGAGCGAAAAAGGAGAGCGCGCGGCGGACCCACCCCGGACGCGCGGCGGCACCGAGAAGCCGGGCCGAGCGUCCUUAGGUUCAGUUUUGAAUGUGAAUGGCAGUAAACUAAUACCCAGGAUUUCUGUAUAAGAAGUCGAUCAAAAGGACUGUACUGUCAGGUAAGAAUCUCGUUUUACUU
rnacentral:lncRNA from 1 species